CCUUUGUACACACCGCCCGUCGCUACUACCGAUUGAAUGGCUCAGUGAGGCGUCCGGACUGGCCCAGAGAGGUGGGCAACUACCCCUCAGGGCCGGAAAGCUCUCCAAACUCGGUCAUUUAGAGG
rnacentral:rRNA from 1 species